rnacentral:rRNA from 1 species
CGCUGAACUUAAGCAUAUUAAUAAGCGGAGGAAAAGAAACUAACAAGGAUUCCCCUAGUAACGGCGAGUGAAGCGGGAAGAGCUCAAGCUUAAAAUCUCCGUGCAAGUUUUGCGCGGCGAAUUGUAGUCUAUAGAGGCGUGAUCAGUGUGGGCGCUUGGGGCAAGUUCCUUGGAAGAGGACAGCAUGGAGGGUGAUACUCCCGUUCAUCCCUGAGUUGCUCGUGCGUACGAUCCGUUUUCUUUGAGUCGCGUUGUUUGGGAAUGCAGCGCAAAGUAGGUGGUAAAUUCCAUCUAAAGCUAAAUAUUGGUGCGAGACCGAUAGCGAACAAGUACCGUGAGGGAAAGAUGAAAAGAACUUUGAAAAGAGAGUUAAAGAGUACCUGAAACUGCUGAAAGGGAACCGAAUCGUUUCCAGUGUCUAUAAUCCGUGGUAUAUUUCAUUGGCGAGUGUGUGCGUGCGUGUGCUGUGGCAGCGGCUUUUUUGGCUGCGCUCGGCGUGUGUGCUGUGUGUGCUUGCUGGUGCCCUGUGCUGCGGUGGGACGUCAAGGUCAGUUCGUAUGCUGCGGGAAAUGGCCGCCGAGGAGGUAGGGCUUACGCUUGCGUUUGUCUGUUAUAUCUUGGUGGACGAGUAGUCGCGGUUGGGACUGAGGUGCCUACAACGUGUUUUUGAGUGGGCCUGUGUCUCUGUGUGCGCCGUGUGCGGAUAGCUUGCUAUGCGUGUGUGGUUGUGUGUGGAUUGAUGUGGGUUUUARCUUGUUGCCGUUCGGGACGUUGACGAAAUGGAGCGAUUUGACCYGUCUUGAAACACGGACCAAGGAGUCUAACAUGUGUGCAAGUGUUAGGGUGUGGAAACCCCAGCGCGAAAUGAAAGUGAAGGGCAGCGUAAGUUGUCUGAGGUAGGAAAUGCUGCGGGCUUCGGUCUGCGGUGUGGCACUAUCGACCGAUCAUGAACCUUCGUGGUGAAAGAUUUGAGUUUGAGCACAUAUGUUGGUACCCGAAAGAUGGUGAACUAUGCCUGAGUAGGGUGAAGCCAGGGGAAACUCUGGUGGAAGCUCGUAGCGAUUCUGACGUGCAAAUCGAUCGUCAAACUUGGGUAUAGGGGCGAAAGACUAAUCGAACCAUCUAGUAGCUGGUUCCCUCCGAAAUUUCCCUCAGGAUAGCAGCAACUUAUUUACGAUAGUUUUAUGAGGUAAAGCGAAUGAUUAGAGGAUUCGGGGAAGAAACUUCCUCGACCUAUUCUCAAACUUUAAAUCUGUAAGACCUGCAGGUUUCUUAAUUGAACUUGUGGAUGUGAAUAUCAAGUUGCUAGUGGGCCAUACGGGGUAAGCUCGUCUGGCG